rnacentral:rRNA from 1 species
GAUGAACGCUAGCGGCAGGCCUAACACAUGCAAGUCGAGGGGUAACAGAAGGUGCUUGCACCUUGCUGACGACCGGCGCACGGGUGCGUAACGCGUAUACAAUCUGCCUUAUACUGGGGGAUAGCCUUUAGAAAUGAAGAUUAACACCCCAUAGUCUAUAGAAGUGGCAUCACUAUUAUAGUAAAGGUUACGGUAUAAGAUGAGUAUGCGUCCUAUUAGUUUGUUGGUAAGGUAACGGCUUACCAAGACUACGAUAGGUAGGGGCCCUGAGAGGGGGAUCCCCCACACUGGUACUGAGACACGGACCAGACUCCUACGGGAGGCAGCAGUGAGGAAUAUUGGACAAUGGAGGCAACUCUGAUCCAGCCAUGCCGCGUGCAGGAAGACUGCCCUAUGGGUUGUAAACUGCUUUUAUACGGGAAGAAACACCCCUACGUGUAGGGGCUUGACGGUACCGUAAGAAUAAGCAUCGGCUAACUCCG